UGUCACUCACACGGGUUGUCACCUGCCUGUUUCUGCUGCAGGUUGUUCUCGUGUCACACACAGAAUUUGUUUUGAACUCCCUCUCACAUCCCAGCAGGAAUUAUUCAUGAGACUACAAAACCCUCUUCUGCAGCAUGAAUUCAUCCCUGUUCAAAGCUUGCAAAGCAACAGGAGGUGAAACUCAGAUUGCUCCCAUCACUUCUGUUUGCCACGUGCACCUUGUGGUCACACAGAGAGCACAGCUGACACUGCAGCUGAGAAGGAAGGGAGGAUUGAUUACAGCUAUUGAAGCAAGGCAGAAUGAAGCAAUCCCUCAGUCUUGUGAGAUUCAUCAUCUUUGCA